AGUGAACGCUGGCGGUAUGCCUAACACAUGCAAGUCGAACGGCAGCACAUUAAUUGCUUUCUCUAACGGGUGGCCUCUAGCGGCGGGGUGGGGAAUACAACGUAAUCUACUUUUUCGUGGCUUAUAACUUAGGCAAACUUACGCUAAUACCUUAUCGGACCUACGGUUGAAAGCAGCGUAUCUUCGUACCUUGCGCUCUUGAAUGAGCGGAUGUCGGAUUAGCUAGUUGGCGGGGUAAAGGCCCACCAGGGCAACGAUCCGUAGCUGGACUGAGAGUAUGAUCAGCGACACUGGAACUGAGACACGGUCAAGGCUCCGACGGGAGGGAGAAGUGGGGAAUAGGGGACAAUGGGCGCAAGCCUGAUCCAGACAUAGCGCGUGGGUGAAGAAGGCCUUCGGGUUGGAAAGCCAUUUUGUUGGGAAAGAAAAGCAGCAGGUUAAGACCCAGCUGUUCUGACGGUACCAAAAGAAGAAGCACCGGCUAACUUCGUG
rnacentral:rRNA from 1 species